AUUGAACGCUGGCGGCAUGCCUUACACAUGCAAGUCGAACGGAUCUAGGGGCUUGCUCCUAGGUUAGUGGCGAACGGGUGAGUAAUGCAUCGGAACGUACCCAGUCGUGGGGGAUAACGUAGCGAAAGUUACGCUAAUACCGCAUACGACAUGAGGGUGAAAGCGGGGGAUCGCAAGACCUCGCGCGAUUGGAGCGGCCGAUAUCAGAUUAGGUAGUUGGUGGGGUAAAGGCCUACCAAGCCGACGAUCUGUAGCUGGUCUGAGAGGACGACCAGCCACACCGGAACUGAGACACGGUCCGGACUCCUACGGGAGGCAGCAGUGGGGAAUAUUGGACAAUGGGGGAAACCCUGAUCCAGCGACGCCGCGUGUGUGAAGAAGGCCUGCGGGUUGUAAAGCACUUUUAGUGGGGACAAAAAGCCAGGGGCUAACACCAUCUGGUCUUGAUUUAACCCACGGAAAAAGCACCGGCUAACUCUGUG
rnacentral:rRNA from 1 species